GAUGAACGCUGGCGGCGUGCCUAAUACAUGCCAGUCGAGCGAACAGAUGAGGAGCUUGCUCCUCUGACGUUAGCGGCGGACGGGUGAGUAACACGUGGAUAACCUACCUAUAAGACUGGGAUAACUUCGGGAAACCGGAGCUAAUACCGGAUAAUAUAUUGAACCGCAUGGUUCAAUAGUGAAAGACGGUUUUGCUGUCACUUAUAGAUGGAUCCGCGCCGCAUUAGCUAGUUGGUAAGGUAACGGCUUACCAAGGCAAGGAUGCGUAGCCGACCUGGGAGGGUGAUCGGCCACACUGGAACCGGACAACGGUCCAGACUCCUCCGGGAGGCACCAGUAGGGAAUCUUCCGAAAUGGGCGAAAGCCUGACGGAGCAACGCCGCGUGAGUGAUGAAGGUCUUCGGAUCGUAAAACUCUGUUAUUAGGGAAGAACAAAUGUGUAAGUAACUAUGCACGUCUUGACGGUACCUAAUCAGAAAGCCACGGCUAACUACGUG
rnacentral:rRNA from 1 species